GACGAACGCUGGCGGCGUGCUUAACACAUGCAAGUCGAACGGAAAGGCCCUGCUUUUGUGGGGUGCUCGAGUGGCGAACGGGUGAGUAACACGUGAGUAACCUGCCCUUGACUUUGGGAUAACUUCAGGAAACUGGGGCUAAUACCGGAUAGGAGCUCCUGCUGCAUGGUGGGGGUUGGAAAGUUUCGGCGGUUGGGGAUGGACUCGCGGCUUAUCAGCUUGUUGGUGGGGUAGUGGCUUACCAAGGCUUUGACGGGUAGCCGGCCUGAGAGGGUGACCGGCCACAUUGGGACUGAGAUACGGCCCAGACUCCUACGGGAGGCAGCAGUGGGGAAUAUGGCACAAUGGGCGGAAGCCUGAUGCAGCAACGCCGCGUGCGGGAUGACGGCCUUCGGGUUGUAAACCGCUUUCGCCUGUGACGAGGCGUGAGUGACGGUAAUGGGUAAAGAAGCACCGGCUAACUACGUG
rnacentral:rRNA from 1 species